GCACAGAGUGAAAUUUAAGCAUACACUGUGCAUACAAUCAGGGUUAUAACAUAUUUAUUGCCUGAAAUGUUUAUCACCUUUAUGGGUAGGGGUUGGUAACAUUAGAAAUGCUCUCUAGGGUCUGUUUUGAAUUAAAUGAUUCAAUGUUCACUUUGUCCUAUAGAACAUUUUAGAAAUCCAGUUGCAAUGGUGGGGUCCGCUGUUUUGAAGCUGCAGUGACUGCCUUAGUAAAACACCUCUCUCAUGCACCAGAAGUUCGCCGUUUCUCCACUGGCUCAUUUAGCUGAUCUCAAGUAAAUCCAAACUUCCAGACCCAUCAGGGGUGACCUGGGGUCAGUUGACCUUUGCCUUCUGCCCACUGAAGUCUGAACCCUCAGACAGAUUUAUCUGAUUGGAGUAUGUUCACGGAAGACACAUGCGUGAGCCUUGUUGGGGAGCCAAACGAGCAAUCAGAAACUAUCUGGACUAUCUGGAAGGCAGAAAACAGCAGGAUAAAGCCUGGCGAUCACCGCUUUCAUUUCAUCUUUGAAAAUGCUUCUGGAACAAUAGUCAUUGGAGAAGAUUUGCUGCUGAACUGAAGACCCCGGGAAGGUGGAGUUAGAAACUAGCUGCCGAGGCGGAGUGGGGUUUCCCAGUGGCAGAGCAGGUCGUUAGCUAUGGGGAUGAAGGUUUUGGUGGAUGCACUGGAGUAGGGGCCAUGGUGGAGCUCUUGCUUCAGCCACACCUGGGAGGACUACACUGCCCUGGGCCUCAGAUCUCACUUUUCACCCACUGUACAUGUGUAUUAAGAAGGUGGCAUGUUUUCUGCCCUCUGUCCAAUGUUGGCUUUUGUUUGGCAAGGAUAAUAAAAGAAUAUUGUUGUGAUGAAA